UACGUAGGGUGCAAGCAUUGUCCGGAUUUACUGGGCGUAAAGAGCGCGCAGGCGGUCGUUCAAGUCGAGUGUGAAAGCCCCCGGCUCAACUGGGGAGGGUCAUUCGAUACUGAUCGACUCGAAGGCAGGAGAGGGAAGUGGAAUUCCCGGUGUAGUGGUGAAAUGCGUAGAUAUCGGGAGGAACACCAGUGGCGAAGGCGACUUCCUGGCCUGUUCUUGACGCUGAGGCGCGAAAGCUAGGGGAGCAAACGGG
rnacentral:rRNA from 1 species